rnacentral:rRNA from 1 species
UACAGAGGUCUCAAGCGUUGUUCGGAUUCAUUGGGCGUAAAGGGUGCGUAGGCGGCGCGGUAAGUCGGGUGUGAAAUCUUGGAGCUUAACUCCGAAACUGCAUUCGAUACUGCCGUGCUUGAGGACUGGAGAGGAGACUGGAAUUUCCGGUGUAGCGGUGAAAUGCGUAGAUAUCGGAAGGAACACCUGUGGCGAAAGCGGCUCACUGGACCAUAACUGACGCUGAGGCGCGAAAGCUAGGGGAGCAAACAGG